rnacentral:rRNA from 1 species
AACGUGGGAGACAAACGUUAUCCGGAGUUACUGGGCGUAAAGGGCGUGUAGGUGGUUCUGUAAGUCUGGCGUGAAAUUUCUCGGCUUAACCGAGGCAGGUCGUCGGAUACUGCAGGGCUAGAGGACGGUAGAGGCGUGUGGAAUUCCGGGUGUAGUGGUGAAAUGCGUAGAGAUCCGGAGGAACACCAGUGGCGAAGGCGGCAUCCUGGACCGACAUUGACGCUGAGGAGCGAAAGCUAGGGGAGCAAACGGG